UGUUAUCAUCCAGAAACAUGCAGCUGUUAAUAGGAGCCUCGGAACUUUCCUUUCAGUUCCCUGUAGCACCACCACUCCAAGAAAAUCAGCAGCGGCUCGCAGCAAAGUCUAGUUUGACAUCACUGGAAUCCCAUCUUGAUACAGUGAGAACUUCUGCUUGUUUUAAAGCACCAUUAUCCUAACAUUCGGUGGACAAAUAAUUUAUUGUAUAAUUUUCAAAGAUGGGAACUGAGGAGGUAAAUAAAUUGAAUUUCUUAAGGAAGACCCUAGUGGUAUCUGCUUUC
rnacentral:lncRNA from 1 species